UACAGAGGAUGCAAGCGUUAUCCGGAAUGAUUGGGCGUAAAGCGUCUGUAGGUGGCUUUUUAAGUCCGCCGUCAAAUCCCAGGGCUCAACCGAGGACGUGCGGAAGAAACUGCAAGGCUCGAGUCCGGAAGAGGGGGGCGGAAUUCCCAGUGUAGCGGUGAAAUGCGUAGAUAUUGGGAGGAACACCAGUGGCGAAGGCGGUCCCCUGGGCCGGAACUGACGCUGAGGCGCGAAAGCGUGGGUAGCAAACGGG
rnacentral:rRNA from 1 species